UCUGCUUACAACUUUUCUGAAAAGUGAUCUUCUGUUUCAAAUUAUAUGGCUUCAGGAAAAUUGCACAGUUGGAAGGGAGGUUAAAAAAGAAAAACAUUUAAAUGGCACUGUUUAACCUUUGAUAUCAUCAUGAAACAUAUGUAACUGAAAAUUCUUAUUCAUUAUGCCCAUCAAAACCUUUUCUCACUUUUCAUGACUUACCAUGUAAUUUCAUUCCAUUCAGUUACAGUUGCAACUGAACUUAAUGAUUCAACAUCUUAUAAUACUUCAUAUCUUCUCUGGGAAUCAGGGAAUUUGGGGAAGUCUACAUGAAAUCUUUUGAACAUUUUAGGGGUGUUUUAAUAAUUUAACAUUUCACUGUGUCCCACUUGCAGUCAUUUGGAACUGUUUUGAAAAUUAUUUACACAAAUUGCUCCCCAAAUGUGUUAUUUUCU
rnacentral:lncRNA from 1 species